rnacentral:lncRNA from 1 species
UACCAUAAAUAACUCGAUUUCAUGUCGCAAAUCAUAAAAUCUUUUCAACAUCUGUCUCGACUUUACUUCCGAAAAGUAAAUGAUGUUGCUAUAGUCAGCAUCCAUACUUUUAAGGAAUUCCUGGAAUUGGCAAUGAUUCAAUCUCUUGGCCCCUAUGAAAUUCACAGCCUUGAUGACAAUUUGCAUGAUGUUAUCCAUUUUUAAAGCUUUUGUGCAUAAAUUUUCUUGAUGUACUAUACAAUGACACAUCAUCAAAAGUGAGUUUCAGGCGGCAACUGCAUCAUUUUCUAUUAAUUUUACAACUCCCUCUCUUUUACGUACCAUCGCAGGGGCAUCAUCAGUAACUAUACCAGGUAUGUUCACAACGCACAAAGAAAAUUGCUUUAAUGCAUCUUUUACUACUUCGUAUAAAUCUCUUGAUUUACUCUGUUUUUUAAUGGCACUAAAAAAGCCAUUUCUUCAUUAUAUGGGUUUAUUAUUUCUUCAUUAUAUGGCUUUAUAUAAUGAUGACAUUCUAUUCGUCAUCAAUGCCUCUAAUAAAAAUGGCAAGUUGUGCCAUAUGUGUAGCAUCAGUGCUUUCAUCCAUCGCCAAAGCACAAAAUUUAAAAUUAGCAGUUUUACGCUCUUUUCAUAGACUUUCCAAUUUCUCCAAUUCACCUGGCUAUAUUCCGGCAAGACAAACUGAUUUUAGAGAUAUCUUCUUUUUUAUCAGGGCAAAUGAUAUAUGCCAUGCCUCCCAUACGUUGCUUAAUAAACUCACCAUCUGUAAAUAGUUUUGCUUUUUGCUAUUAAAUUUGCUAUCAUAUAACUAGCUUUUACAAUAGACUGUUUGAGUUGCAACUUUAAAAAAAAUUUUUUUUGUGAAGACAGACAUUUUUUCAGUUCUGCUAUUUUUGUCCUUACGACACAUUCCUUGAUACGCACCAAAUUUGGCAGCACGUCUUUGCAUAUAAUGCCUUUUCAAAUUAUAGUCUUUGAAACUGGCACAAAUUCCCUACAAAUCAAGCAGAGUGCCUUACUAUUUGCCUUGACAAAAAAGUAGUCAUCUGUCCACUUUUCGUUGAGCAAUCUUCCCUCAUCUGUAUUUUUUAUUUUGGGGGGGGUUUGUUUUCUUUUGAGACAUUGUAGAAGCCAUAUGCUGGAAUUUUAAAAAAUAAUAAUAGAUAAGCAACUCGAUUUACAUUUAUUAUGAAAAUUAAUAGACAGGAAAAUAGAAAGCAAGGUUUAAUAACCAAAUAAGAAGACUAAUACUUAUAGGUCUUCUAACUAAUAUUAAACACCUAUCAUUUACAAAGGUAGGUUGAAAUAUUAUCAAAUAUCAUUGCUCAAGUCGCCAGAAGCACAUAUAACGCCUGAAGGUGUCAAUUCAGUUAGUGCUGUUUCCUGUUCCCUGAGUACAGUUUGGGUCCCACUAGAUGGCAUCAGGUACAGUGCAAGGGAAUUUCAGUGUAGAGUAAGGGUCAAGAAGGUGGUCUACCAUGUAUUAGCUAUGCAAACUCCGCCAACCACUUAACCCUUCUGAACCUCAGUGUCCCCAUCUGUAAAGUGGGGACAAUAACUCUGCUAACUACCUCACAGGCUAUUAUGAUAGUCACAUUUUAACAUCAUUGACAAUUACACUAAGGCAAACCACUACUAAAACAAGUGGCCUGGAAUUAUUUCAUCAAUCUGCUUCUGGUAUGACAGAGUCACUUUUAUCAGACCAAACUCCCUGCCCAAAAUAAGAAGAAACACUGGAUAAAGGGCAAAGGUCGGCUGGGCGCGGUGGCUCUUAAUUCUUACAUCAGCCUCCUUCUACUCCUUCCCCUCCGCCAUUCACCACCACCACAGUCCAAGCUGCCAGUAUCAAGGCUGAACUCCAGCAAUGGCCAGAUUUUUAGCCUCCCUCAGACAUCAAGGCCAGUUCCUGCAGUCAGAAGGCUCUUUCCAAAAUGCAAAUCCCUUGUGACUUUCCCUGCCUAAACCUGACCCAGAAAGCCUCCAUGGUCUCUAUCUUCUGGCCUCUCCGGCCUCAUUUUGCUCCUCUCUCUCCAGCCCUCUGCACUCCAGCCUCACUGGCCGGCCUCCUCUCAGCCCCUUGAGUGGGCUGGGUGACCUUCCACCACAGGGCUCUGUACAAGCUACCCCUCUUCCUCCACUGUCCAACUUGCCGCCUCUCCUAGUAAACUCCUCCUUGACAUCAGAUUUUGGCUAAAUGCAGCUUCCCACAAGGAGCCCUCCCACCCUCACUUUGACGCUUGCCUCAUUAAACAGCAUCCUUUGCUUCGGGUACCCCUUGAUAAGCCCCAGGAAAGCAGGAGCCAGCUCCUAGCACAGGGGCAGGUAUAUGUAGACAAUAAAUGCUUGUUGAAUGACAAUGAAUCUCACUUAACCCUUGAAAUAAACUUAAGCAGUGGACAUUCUUGAUCUCCCUCUAUAGAUAAAGAGACAGGCCAAGAUCACAGAGCUGGGGACAGGUCCCUCUCACUGAAAAGGAACAGAAAGUUCAAUUCACUUCUGAUUAACAAAGAGAAAAAAAAAACUAUUGGGAAAGUACAUCUUACUUCGAAACUUAUGAUACAAAGAACAAAUGGAGAAAUAAAAUGCUGUGACUGGGUUCCUUCUUAUUUAAUUCCUUUCCCCUUGUAUUUUCUCUUUGUCUCUUCUCCCUAAUUUUUCCCCUCUCCCUGCAUUCAGUAGCAGACUUGUAUCCCUUUAAAUACUUCCCAAGGAAGCAGCCUGAACAGCCUUUCCCACAGGUUUGGAAAUGCCCUGCAAUAAAAAUGUCAAGGGUGAAAUAAGACAAUGCAUUUUCUCAGCCCUACAUCAGGCCAAAUUACAUAAUAAAGGACCAACAUCUGAACCAUAAAACUCAGGAUGAAAGUCACCUUUAACUUGCUGGAAUCCUGGUUAAGGUCUGGAUUAAAUGGAGUGGGGGCUGGAGCUAAAGUUGUCAUUCUCCAAGGACUUUCAUACAUCGGGCAAAAAUCUGCUGGGCCCCUUCCCAACCUCCUCCCUUACCCAGUCCCCACUCCGGCCAGAAUGAUACAAACCUUGCAGAGGCUCUGAUGAACUCCCAUCAGUUCUCAGCUGAUUAUUGAGAAAUUGUCCUCUUGUGCUAGAAUUAAAAGCCUGCAUUGUUCCUGCUUAGAGUUCCUCCAUCAGAAGACAGAUGCCCUUAGGCCCCAAUAUCCCUAGGGCUGUAGAAGCAAUCCCUUUCCUGGCUGUCCUGUAGGUACCAUGUACCUGCUAGACUAAACAAAGGUUUGUAACCACACACACCCCAAACAGGCCAGCUCAGGCCAGCAGCACAGCCAAAUUCUGGGAGGCCAGGCAGCACUGGGCCAGUCCCCACUUGACAG